rnacentral:lncRNA from 1 species
CAUGGAAAUAAAUGAAAACACUAAAAAUAAGGGUUGAACGACUUUUUCAUCCACAUCUUGAGAAGUUAUUCACCUUAAUGUUUUUAUCUACACAUUGACACAAAUCUCUACUUUAUAACUAAUGUUCUGCUCUCCAUCUACACUGGACCAGGCAUAGGAGCAAAAGGCAUCUCAGGUUAAGCGCUUCUCGGGUUGUUCUUAAGCAGCUGGGGACUUCAGGGACCCAACAGUAGGAAGGAGCAAAAGGCUUCUGUUUGUUUUUCCAAAGCUUCAUCUAGGGACCUUUCUGAAGACCUCCUUAACCCUGAAACUUGAGCAAUGCCAAGAGAGUAGUCUCUCCAUAACUUUUCACAGCCUGCCAGCUUGCUAAAAUGUUCCUGGGCAUUUUAAAUUGAAAGUGGAGGCAUGGGGCUGGAGAGAUGGGCCAGCAGUUGGUCAAUAAGAGCACUUGGUGUUCUGGCUGAGGACUGGGGUUUGGUUGCCAGCAGCAGCCACAUCAAAUAGCUCCCAACCAUCUGUAAUUUGCAGUUCCAGGGGAUCUGAUGCCCCUGUGUUCUUUGUGAGCACUGCAUACACUGGAUAUGUAUAUGCCCUAAACAUUCAGGCUGGCCUCGAACUCACAGAGAUCUGCCUGCCUCUUCAUCUCAAGUGCUGGGAUUAAAGGCGUGCACCAUCACGUCCAGCUAUAAAAUCUUUUUUUUUUUUUUUUUACAGAAAGAAAUGGAGGGUGAGUUGACCACUGAACCCCUAACUUAACACACCCUGGCCUUAUAUUUUCUGUUUAGCUGUUCAGAUUGUACAUAGUGGAGUUUUGUUUGGUUGUUUGUUUUCUACAGAUGAAACAAAGCAAACAAAUCCCGAAGCCACAUGAAGAAUCCUUUGAUGUUCAGCACCCCCUGCUUUGCCACUUGGACUGCUUUGCAUUGAGUAGUAGUCACUCUAGAGUCGGGUUCUCUCUCUCUCUCUCUCUCUCUCUCUCUCUCUCUCUCUCUCUGUGUGUGUGUGUGUGUGUGUGUCUGUCUGUCUGUCUGUCUCUGUGUGUGUGUGUGUCUGUCUCUCUGUCUCUGUGUGUGUGUGUGUGUGUGUGUGUGCCUCUGUCUGUCUGUCUGUCUCUGUCUCUGUUUCUCUCUUUCUCUGUCUCUCUCUUUUUUAAGCAAAGUCUUACCAGGCUGGCCUCAAAUUGGACAUGUAGCUAAG